rnacentral:rRNA from 1 species
GUAGUCCACGCCCUAAACGAUGUCGACUGGUUGUUGGGGGUUUGACACUCUCAGUAACGAAGCUAACGCGUGAAGUCGACCGCCUGGGGAGUACGGCCGCAAGGUUAAAACUCAAAGGAAUUGACGGGGACCCGCACAAGCGGUGGAUUAUGUGGAUUAAUUCGAUGCAACGCGAAAAACCUUACCUACCCUUGACAUGUCCGAGAGUUCGCUGAGAGGCGAAUGUGCCCGAAAGGGAAUCGGAACACAGGUGCUGCAUGGCUGUCGUCAGCUCGUGUCGUGAGAUGUUGGGUUAAGUCCCGCAACGAGCGCAACCCUUGUCAUUAGUUGCUACAUUCAGUUGGGCACUCUAAUGAGACUGCCGGUGACAAACCGGAGGAAGGUGGGGAUGACGUCAAGUCCUCAUGGCCCUUAUGGGUAGGGCUUCACACGUAAUACAAUGGCGCGUACAGAGGGUUGCCAAGCCGCGAGGUGGAGCCAAUCCCUUAAAGCGCGUCGUAGUCCGGAUUGCAGUCUGCAACUCGACUGCAUGAAGUCGGAAUCGCUAGUAAUCGCGGAUCAGCAUGUCGCGGUGAAUACGUUCCCGGGUCUUGUACACACCGCCCGUCACACCAUGGGAGUGGGUUUCACCAGAAGCCGGUCGCCUAACCGCAAGGGGGGCGCCGACCACGGUGAGAUUCAUGACUGGGGUG